UAAAGAACCGUUGCAAUAGCCUAGAUAUUUUAACAAAAAUGAAAGCUAAUGCAACGGUAGUGUUGUAUCAUGAAAAUUUUAGCUAAAUUGAAGCGCGCAUUGUUCCCUCUAAUUUUUUCACCAAAAUUUUGAACAAACACGUGUUUACUUUUCUCACCCAUUUUCUCCCCUCAUUCUCACAGUACCUAUUCUCACCCUAUUUCUCCAUUUCCUCAAUUUCCCCCAAUUCUCCGUUUUCACAAUUUCCCCCAAUUCUCUAGUUUCCCCAUCAUCAUCUCACAUAAAUAAGCAAGGUAAACAAAAAUUCUGAGGCCGAUUUUGAGGUGAAAAUCACGAAAAAAAUCAUUCAAAAAUUCGAAGAGGAAAAUAAGCAAAUAAUUAUGAGGAAGUAGUAGACGAAGGCGGCAGUCAGGAUCGGAGGUGGUGGCUGAUAGCGGCAGUCAGGCGGUGGUGGCUGAUAGUGGCACAGACGGUCUCAAUUUCAUUGUUGCAUGUCCCUUCCUUGAGCUGAUUGCUCAAAAUUCUGUUCAAGAACAUCAUCAUCGUCCGUGGUAGUUGGUGAGAGUGAUUUGCUAAUUGUUGGACCUGGUGUUCUUGGUCACUUGGUAGCUCAACAAUGGAGUCAGGUGCAUGGGGAGCUAAAUGAAACGGAAGUAUAGUGACUAGUCAUCUAACAAAUGGUGCAUAUAUGUUGGCGCUUAUUCAAGUUCAACUUUGUGAAGAUUUGAAAAUUCCGGCUUAUAUAUAUGUUGACAAUUUGUAUUUUGGACGAUUAAAUUAAUUAUGUAACUUUUAUUUUUUAUUAGUAGGGUGUCAUACCAAAAAUAAGCAAGUAAUAUUUUGUAAUGUACGUAUGUCGCAUUAUAAUUAUUAUAUAUAAAUUAAAUAAUACUUUGUUUUGGUUAGUAUAUUUGGAUUUGUACUGACUAAUUAUACAUAUAUUAAAUUACCAUUCCAAAAAAAAAAAAAAAAAUCAAAUGAUCAAUCCGUUGCAGUAGAUACGUAUUACUAUCAUUGUAGUAAUUAGCUUCAUCCGUUGCAAUAGGUUCAAUUUCAUCAUAAUUA